rnacentral:pre_miRNA from 13 species
UAAUUUUUUUGGGGCAUGUUAUUAUCUAAUUAUAGCAGAUUCACAUCUAACUGCUCAAAAUCAUUCAUUAUCGUAAGCCCGACUAUAUCAUUGACACUCAAAAUAUAAUUGAAAGAAAAGGUUUAUUAAAUUAUGAU